GAUAAAACGUUGAUGAGGUAAAAGUAAGUAGAAACUUGUAUUCACAGAGAGCCGGUCAUGCUGGAAGCCGGCAAUACAACUAUUUACGACAUCCCCUCGGAGUGGACUGUUAAAAGGUAUGCCGAUUAGGCAGUCCCGGGCUCGGCAAUUGGGCUCGUUAGCAAUGAAAAAGUCAGGUUUCGACUUGCUUUUUCGUAAGGUGACUCAGGUCACGAACUAGGGUGGUACCAUGAAAGCUUUUUCAUCCCUAUG
rnacentral:ncRNA from 1 species